rnacentral:misc_RNA from 1 species
AGCAGCCGCGGUAAUUCCAGCUCCAAUAGCGUAUAUUAAAGUUGUUGCAAUUAAAAAGCUCGUAGUUGAAUCUCGAGAUCAAAUUGUUGGUCGUGCCUUGGUACGCACUGGCAUUAUUGGUUUCUCCCUUCUGACGAACCAUGAUGUCACUAAUUUGGUGUCUUGGGGAAUCAGGACUGUUACUUUGAAAAAAUUUAGAGUGUUUAAAGCAGGCUUACGCUUGAAUACAUUAGCAUGGAAUAAUGAAAUAGGACGUUUGAUUCUAUUUUGUUGGUUUCUAGGAUCGACGUAAUGAUUAAUAGGGAUAGUUGGGGGCAUUAGUAUUCAAUUGUCAGAGGUGAAAUUCUUGGAUUUAUUGAAGACUAACUACUGCGAAAGCAUUUGCCAAGGAUGUUUUCAUUAAUCAAGAACGAAAGUUAGGGGAUCGAAGACGAUCAGAUACCGUCGUAGUCUUAACCAUAAACUAUGCCGACUAGGGAUCGGAUGAUGUUAAUUUUUUCAAUGACUCAUUCGGCGCCUU